rnacentral:rRNA from 1 species
UACAGAGGUGGCAAGCGUUGUUCGGAAUUACUGGGCGUAAAGGGCGCGUAGGCGGUUCCGUAAGUCCCGCGUGAAAUCCCCCGGCUCAACCGGGGAACGGCGCGGGAAACUUCGGGGCUUGAGUUCGGGAGAGGGAAGCGGAAUUCCGGGUGUAGCGGUGAAAUGCGUAGAUAUCCGGAGGAACACCGGUGGCGAAGGCGGCUUCCUGGACCGAUACUGACGCUGAUGUGCGAAAGCUAGGGGAGCAAACGGGAUUAGAUACCCCGGUAGUCCUAGCUGUAAACGAUGAGUGCUGGGUGUAGGGGGUAUUAACCCCCCCUGUGCCGAAGCUAACGCAUUAAGCACUCCGCCUGGGGAGUACGGUCGCAAGGCUGAA